UACGUAGGUGGCAAGCGUUAUCCGGAUUUAUUGGGCGUAAAGAGAACGCAGGCGGUCUUUUAAGUCUGAUGUGAAAGCCCGGGGCUCAACCCCGGGACUGCAUUUGGAACUGUAUAGCUAGAGUGUCGGAGAGGCAGGCGGAAUUCCUAGUGUAGCGGUGAAAUGCGUAGAUAUUAGGAGGAACACCAGUGGCGAAGGCGGCCUGCUGGACGAUGACUGACGUUGAGGCUCGAAAGCGUGGGGAGCAAACAGG
rnacentral:rRNA from 1 species